rnacentral:rRNA from 2 species
GAGGCUGGCGUCGUCCUAUAAUGCAGUCGAGCGAACGGACGAGAAGCUUGCUUCUCUGAUGUUAGCGGCGGACGGGUGAGUAACACGUGGAUAACCUACCUAUAAGACUGGGAUAACUUCGGGAAACCGGAGCUAAUACCGGAUAAUAUUUUGAACCGCAUGGUUCAAAAGUGAAAGACGGUCUUGCUGUCACUUAUAGAUGGAUCCGCGCUGCAUUAGCUAGUUGGUAAGGUAACGGCUUACCAAGGCAACGAUGCAUAGCCGACCUGAGAGGGUGAUCGGCCACACUGGAACUGAGACACGGUCCAGACUCCUACGGGAGGCAGCAGUAGGGAAUCUUCCGCAAUGGGCGAAAGCCUGACGGAGCAACGCCGCGUGAGUGAUGAAGGUCUUCGGAUCGUAAAACUCUGUUAUUAGGGAAGAACAUAUGUGUAAGUAACUGUGCACAUCUUGACGGUACCUAAUCAGAAAGCCACGGCUAACUACGUGCCAGCAGCCGCGGUAAUACGUAGGUGGCAAGCGUUAUCCGGAAUUAUUGGGCGUAAAGCGCGCGUAGGCGGUUUUUUAAGUCUGAUGUGAAAGCCCACGGCUCAACCGUGGAGGGUCAUUGGAAACUGGAAAACUUGAGUGCAGAAGAGGAAAGUGGAAUUCCAUGUGUAGCGGUGAAAUGCGCAGAGAUAUGGAGGAACACCAGUGGCGAAGGCGACUUUCUGGUCUGUAACUGACGCUGAUGUGCGAAAGCGUGGGGAUCAAACAGGAUUAGAUACCCUGGUAGUCCACGCCGUAAACGAUGAGUGCUAAGUGUUAGGGGUUUCCGCCCCUUAGUGCUGCAGCUAACGCAUUAGCACUCCGCCUGGGGAGUACGACCGCAAGUUGAAACUCAGAAAAUUUGACGGA